rnacentral:rRNA from 1 species
AAUCAAGUGCCUUAAGGGUGUUCGGUGGAUGCCUUGGCGCUGAGAGGCGAUGAAGGACGUGCUACGCUGCGAUAAGCCGUGGGGAGCUGCGAAGAAGCUUUGAUCCAUGGAUUUCCGAAUGGGGAAACCCACCUUCGAUAGCCGGAACUCCAAGACCUUGGUCGAAAGACAUCGGGGUUGGGUUCGAUCAGAUGAUGAGAGAUAAUCAAACCUUUAGAUCUUGACCGUGAAGGUUUUGGAUUUCCGGUUAUCAAGAGAAGGUAUGAGACUUCUGAAUACAUAGGAGGUUUCAAGCAAACCCAGGGAACUGAAACAUCUAAGUACC